UCUUUAUAAGUCAGAAUUAAUAAGAAUUUAUCUUUUUUAUUAUUUUAAGCUUAUUUUGUUGGGGUGACAAGAAAAUAAAUAGAACUUUUCUUACUAUUACAUAGAUUUAUGUUUAUAUGAUCCGUUAUAAAUGAUUAUUAGACUAAGA
rnacentral:rRNA from 1 species